rnacentral:rRNA from 1 species
AGCCCCUAAGCUUCAGUUACAGAGAGACCGUACCGCAAACCGACACAGGUGGGCAGGAUGAGAAUUCUAAGGCGCUUGAGAGAACUCAGGAGAAGGAACUCGGCAAAUUAGCACCGUAACUUCGGGAUAAGGUGCGCCCUGAUAGGUUGAAGCCCCUCGCGGGUGUAGGCUGAAAGGGUUGCAGUGAAAUGGUGGCUGCGACUGUUUAAUAAAAACACAGCACUCUGCAAACACGAAAGUGGACGUAUAGGGUGUGACGCCUGCCCGGUGCCGGAAGGUUAAGUGAUGGGGUGCAAGCUCUUGAUCGAAGCCCCGGUAAACGGCGGCCGUAACUAUAACGGUCCUAAGGUAGCGAAAUUCCUUGUCGGGUAAGUUCCGACCUGCACGAAUGGCGUAACGAUGGCCACACUGUCUCCUCCUGAGACUCAGCGAAGUUGAAAUGAUUGUGAAGACGCAAUCUCCCCGCGGUUAGACGGAAAGACCCCAUGAACCUUUACUGUAGCUUUGCAUUGGACUUUGAACCAAUCUGUGUAGGAUAGGUGGGAGGCUGUGAAACUGGGACGCUAGUUCUGGUGGAGCCAACCUUGAAAUACCACCCUGGUUUGUUUGAGGUUCUAACCAUGGCCCGUGAAUCCGGGUCUGGGACCGUGCAUGGUAGGCAGUUUGACUGGGGCGGUCUCCUCCUAAAGUGUAACGGAGGAGUACGAAGGUACGCUAGGUACGGUCGGACAUCGUGCUGAUAGUGCAAUGGCAUAAGCGUGCUUGACUGCGAGACACACACGUCGAGCAGGUACGAAAGUAGGUCAUAGUGAUCCGGUGGUUCUGUAUGGAAGGGCCAUCGCUCAACGGAUAAAAGGUACUCUGGGGAUAACAGGCUAAUACCGCCCAAGAGUUCAUAUCGACGGCGGUGUUUGGCACCUCGAUGUCGGCUCAUCACAUCCUGGGGCUGUAGUCGGUCCCAAGGGUAUGGCUGUUCGCCAUUUAAAGUGGUACGUGAGCUGGGUUUAAAACGUCGUGAGACAGUUUGGUCCCUAUCUGCCGUGGGCGCUGGAAAUUUGAAGGGGGCUGCUCCUAGUACGAGAGGACCGGAGUGGACGAACCUCUGGUGUACCGGUUAUGACGCCAGUCGUAUUGCCGGGUAGCUAAGUUCGGAAGAGAUAAACGCUGAAAGCAUCUAAGCGUGAAACUCGCCUUGAGAUAAGAUUUCCCUGGGGACUUGAUCCCCCUGAAGGGUCGUGGUAGACCACCACGUUGAUAGGCUGGGUGU